AAAAUUUUUUCCCUUGUUUUGGUGAAUUAAGGUUCCGGAAUAUUAAUUAGUGUUUGCCCUUACGUCAACAUUGCCCACCUAUGCCCUACCCUCGCUCCGGCGUCCCUGAUUUAUUCAAGCAUGAUUGAACUAACCAACUGAACAAUAUGAGUUCGUUUAUUGUAGAGACAGAUUAAUCAAGAUGACGAAUCAUCAGUUUCCCUUUGUCCUGCUUGAGGUGUCUCUACCCGCCUCCUUCGGCCUAGUUCAAAAGUCUAACUUUACAUGAACCAACCAUAUUUAUAUACCAUUAGACUACUACUGAAAAAUCACCUCUCCUGCGGAUUUUAACGAAUUUUUCUCAAAUUUUCACAGGUCAUAGCUAAAGACGUCGGUUUCAAAAUUGUGUUCGGC